rfam:Schistosoma haematobium scaffold305_17, whole genome shotgun sequence.
AGCUUUUCGAAUCCGUGCAGUGAUUUCGUCAGAUACCAAUGCAUUUGGGCUAAUCAGACUUCCAAGAUAAGUGAAGUU